rnacentral:rRNA from 1 species
UACGGGGGGAGCAAGCGUUGUUCGGAUUUACUGGGCGUAAAGGGCGCGUAGGCGGCCACCGCAAGUCGACUGUGAAAUCUCCGGGCUUAACCCGGAAAGGUCAGCCGAUACUGCGGGGCUAGAGUGCAGAAGGGGCAACUGGAAUUCUCGGUGUAGCGGUGAAAUGCGUAGAUAUCAGGAGGAACACCGGUGGCGGAGGCGGGUCUCUGGGCCGUAACUGACGCUGAGGAGCGAAAGCAUGGGGAGCGAACAGG